GACGAACGCUGGCGGCGUGCUUAACACAUGCAAGUCGAACGGAAAGGCCCUGCUUUUGUGGGGUGCUCGAGUGGCGAACGGGUGAGUAACACGUGAGUAACCUGCCCUUGACUUUGGGAUAACUUCAGGAAACUGGGGCUAAUACCGGAUAGGAGCUCCUGCUGCAUGGUGGGGGUUGGAAAGUUUCGGCGGUUGGGGAUGGACUCGCGGCUUAUCAGCUUGUUGGUGGGGUAGUGGCUUACCAAGGCUUUGACGGGUAGCCGGCCUGAGAGGGUGACCGGCCACAUUGGGACUGAGAUACGGCCCAGACUCCUACGGGAGGCAACAGUGGGGAAUAUUGCACAAUGGGCGAAGCCUGAUGCAGCAACGCCGCGUGCGGGAUGACGGCCUUCGGGUUGUAAACCGCUUUCGCCUGUGACGAAGCGUGAGUGACGGUAAUGGGUAAAGAAGCACCGGCUAACUACGUG
rnacentral:rRNA from 1 species